UAUUGCCCGCGUCGGGAUAGGGGUACCCCGACGUCACCGGGCACCCCGGCGGCACGAAGAGCUGCACGUGAGGGGUUCUGAUGCCGCCCUCACGCCUUGCCCGACCUCUCCUGUAGUGUUCUGAACCUCCAGAGCCGAUGGCGUGGUGGUGAACUGCUGGGAGGAAGGAGGUUGCACAUGUUGUGUUCCAGUAUAUGAAACUGUUGCAGAAAAUGAGCCCAGAUAAAAGGCACUGAUUUCUCCCUGAAGACACCUGAUUUCCUAGAGACAGCUUAUCCAGUAAAAGGUGUGAGUACAGCACAGCGAUGCAUGUGGUACAAGAAGGACAAUAAAUUCCAGAAACCUGAAGGUCCUGAUGUGCUAGCUGAGAAAUGCCCAGGAAAUGAUCGGUUGCCAGAUGUUGCAGAAACACAGCUUCAAAGUUGAAACCUCUGCUAUUGUCAUCAGGAUAAUCCACAACGAAUGUCAAACUUUGUAUGAAGCUGGCACUGCAGGACUUGUGGAUACCUUUGUUAACCUGUGUGCUGUUCCCAGGGCAUCCAAAGCAACUGCAGCUGCCUCUGAAGCGUUCCUGUUGUAGCUGUUUGGGCACCAGGACCAGCAAAGUAAGUGAGUGUGUUUAGUUAAUAACUGCUUUGAGUUGGCCAGUGUGUUAAUGUGCAAAUGGACUGUGGUAUCCCUCUGAAUGGUGAGUCAUGACCUGUAUAUAUAAAUAUAUAGUUAAGACAGCUGUUAGAGGAGGCAUAGCUUAGUGCCACAGGUUUGGGACUCUUGUAAGAGGCUGUGUCAUUUUUCUUAUGUCUUAUCUGUGUGGACAUAAAAUUCAUACAGAAUCAUAGAAGCGUUGGGCAGGAAGGGACCUUAAAACCUGUUCUGGUUCCAACCUGGCCUGGGCUGGCUGCCACCCAAUAGAUCAGACGGGGAGCACUCCGUUUUUUCUGGGAAUUAUUUCUAUUUGCUACUGUAUUACUCUCCUAACGUGUUUAAUUGAAAUAUUUUAAUGGAAUGACUUAGAAGUUACUUUCAAGAUACACACUGCUUCUGAAGGCUUAAGCAGUACAUAGAAUGACUUAGGAUGGAAGGGACUUUCCAAGUUUCAGCCCCCCGCUGAACAAAACAGUCUGCUUACUUAAAGCUGGCCAUAACUUGUCUUUGUGAUUCCUAUUAUGGUGGUGUAGCUGCUAAAGAUGGUGAAAUUCCAAAGAGGACAGCCAAAGUAUGCCAACAGGCCCCUAAGCCCCUCAGUUUUAACACUCAAGAGCUAAGGAAAAGACAGACCAAAAUGCAAUACAGGACCAGUUCUAAGAGACAGCAUUUUAAGUACUAAAAUGUAAUUAGUUCAGUAGGCGCAGAUAAAAAAAAAAUUUAAUCUUUCUAUAGAAACAGUGCACUGUUUUACAAACGUAUUCAUUUGGUUUUCAGUAAUCCUUAUUCAUGUAAGUACAGCACGUGUUACACAGCAGAUCCCUCCCCACCCUCCCUGGUCCUUUUGUCCAUACCAAAAACUGAAACACAAAAGGCACCAAGCAAGAACUUACUUGAACAGAACUUCAACAUGACAAGACGGAUCAGAAGUGUUUACAAUGUUAAAUAUCAUCCUAACAUCCUGACCUGUUAUUUAAAAUAAUUUCUUUAAA